GCGAUCGUGGUGAAGUGGUUAACACAUCGGAUUGUGGAUCCGACAUGCGUGGGUUCGAUCCCCAUCGAUCGCC
rnacentral:tRNA from 1 species